GACGAACGCUGGCGGCGUGCUUAACACAUGCAAGUCGAACGGUGAAGCGCCUUCCUUUUUGGUGGGUGUGGAUGAGUGGCGAACGGGUGAGUAACACGUGAGUAACCUGCCCCCUUCUUCUGGAUAACCGCAUGAAAGUGUUGCUAAUACGGGAUAUUCUGGGUCUGUCGCAUGAUUGGUCUGGGAAAGAUAUUGUUUCGGUGGGGGAUGGGCUCGCGGCCUAUCAGCUUGUUGGUGGGGUGAUGGCCUACCAAGGCGGUGACGGGUAGCCGGCCUGAGAGAGUGGACGGUCAGACAGGGAGUGAGACACGGGCCAGAAUCGGACGGGAGGCAGCGGGGGGGAAGAUUGCACAAUGGGCGCAAGCCGGAGGCAGCGACGGCGAGUGAGGGAGGGAGGCCUUCGGGUUGUGAACCUCUUUCGCCAGUGAAGCAGGCGUGCCUCGUUUGUGGGUGGGUUGACGGUAGCUGGAUAAGAAGCGCCGGCUAACUACGU
rnacentral:rRNA from 1 species